rnacentral:rRNA from 1 species
UGCUGGAGGUAUCAGAAGUGCGAAUGCUGACAUAAGUAACGAUAAAGCGGGUGAAAAGCCCGCUCGCCGGAAGACCAAGGGUUCCUGUCCAACGUUAAUCGGGGCAGGGUGAGUCGACCCCUAAGGCGAGGCCGAAAGGCGUAGUCGAUGGGAAACGGGUUAAUAUUCCCGUACUUGGUGUUACUGCGAAGGGGGGACGGAGAAGGCUAUGUUGGCCGGGCGACGGUUGUCCCGGUUUAAGCGUGUAGGUGUGUGUUCCAGGUAAAUCCGGUUCACUUUAACACUGAGGCGUGACGACGAGGCACUACGGUGCUGAAGCAACAAAUGCCCUGCUUCCAGGAAAAGCCUCUAAGCAUCAGGUAACAUCAAAUCGUACCCCAAACCGACACAGGUGGUCAGGUAGAGAAUACCAAGGCGCUUGAGAGAACUCGGGUGAAGGAACUAGGCAAAAUGGUGCCGUAACUUCGGGAGAAGGCACGCUGACACGUAGGUGAAGUGAUUUACUCACGGAGCUGAAGUCAGUCGAAGAUACCAGCUGGCUGCAACUGUUUAUUAAAAACACAGCACUGUGCAAACACGAAAGUGGACGUAUACGGUGUGACGCCUGCCCGGUGCCGGAAGGUUAAUUGAUGGGGUCAGCGCAAGCGAAGCUCCUGAUCGAAGCCCCGGUAAACGGCGGCCGUAACUAUAACGGUCCUAAGGUAGCGAAAUUCCUUGUCGGGUAAGUUCCGACCUGCACGAAUGGCGUAAUGAUGGCCAGGCUGUCUCCACCCGAGACUCAGUGAAAUUGAACUCGCUGUGAAGAUGCAGUGUACCCGCGGCAAGACGGAAAGACCCCGUGAACCUUUACUAUAGCUUGACACUGAACAUUGAGCCUUGAUGUGUAGGAUAGGUGGGAGGCUUUGAAGUGUGGACGCCAGUCUGCAUGGAGCCGACCUUGAAAUACCACCCUUUAAUGUUUGAUGUUCUAACGUGGACCCGUUACCCGGGUUGCGGACAGUGUCUGGUGGGUAGUUUGACUGGGGCGGUCUCCUCCUAAAGAGUAACGGAGGAGCACGAAGGUUGGCUAAUCCUGGUCGGACAUCAGGAGGUUAGUGCAAUGGCAUAAGCCAGCUUGACUGCGAGCGUGACGGCGCGAGCAGGUGCGAAAGCAGGUCAUAGUGAUCCGGUGGUUCUGAAUGGAAGGGCCAUCGCUCAACGGAUAAAAGGUACUCCGGGGAUAACAGGCUGAUACCGCCCAAGAGUUCAUAUCGACGGCGGUGUUUGGCACCUCGAUGUCGGCUCAUCACAUCCUGGGGCUGAAGUAGGUCCCAAGGGUAUGGCUGUUCGCCAUUUAAAGUGGUACGCGAGCUGGGUUUAGAACGUCGUGAGACAGUUCGGUCCCUAUCUGCCGUGGGCGCUGGAGAACUGAGGGGGGCUGCUCCUAGUACGAGAGGACCGGAGUGGACGCAUCACUGGUGUUCGGGUUGUCAUGCCAAUGGCACUGCCCGGUAGCUAAAUGCGGAAGAGAUAAGUGCUGAAAGCAUCUAAGCACGAAACUUGCCCCGAGAUGAGUUCUCCCUGAGACUUAGAGUCUCCUGAAGGAACGUUGAAGACGACGACGUUGAUAGGCCGGGUGUGUAAGCGCAGCGAUGCGUUGAGCUAACCGGUACUAAUGAACCGUGAGGCUUAACCUUAC